CUUAGUGCUGUACAGUGUACAGCCACUGCACCAAAACAAAAUGUGUAUGAAAAUAAGUAUCUAAAAUACGCUUAAUACUAACAAAAUAUAACAUUAAUAUUUAGUCAUUUCUCCGUUCGCAUCAAUAACUGCGUCGCACCUUCUUCGCAUCGACCUUACCAGAUUUUCACACAGGGCCAAUCCACGAAAUGACUCCCAAACCUCGUUAACAUGAGAGACCAGUGCUGCUGUGGUCCUCUCUCUUCUGUUGUCCCAUUCCUGGAUCAUGAUACCCCACAGAUUUUCUAUGGGGAACAAGCCCGGUGAACGAGCCGGCCAAGGUAUAGCCCGCAAGCCUGGCUGCUGCGUGAUCCAGUUACGGACUAUGCGAGAUGCGAGAUGUGAUAGGGCAAUUGUCUUGAAUAAAGAAAAUUUCAGGCACGUCUUGCUUCGGAUACACAUUUCGCACAGCCUUGUACUCCGGCCGUAAGUUCGAGCGAAACGAACGCGCUCCGCCUUAUGAUUAUCGGACAGAGCUAUUUUUUUGGCCGGCUUGCGGUGGUGCACUCCUUCACGAUGCAGUGCAUUGCGUAUUGUCGCAGUCGUGCAGUCAUACUCCGCCGCAAAAUGUUCGGGUUGGUGUGAAGGGCUGCGGCUUUAGGACACCAUUCUCCCUUUCUAUUAUAUUUCUAGUGCUUAUAUAGGCACGAUUAUAUCUCUCUUCAGGUUGUGUUCAGGGGUUGAUGACUGGGGUAUACAUUAUGUGAAGUUUGGGCAUAACCACUAUCUCCCAGUAAUAUGCCACUAAUGGUGCCUUCUUCCAAUAAAAACUAGCAGCUACUGUUGGCAUAAUAUAUAUAUUCUGGAAUCAUGCACAGAUUCAGGCCAUCGUGCCACAAUAUGACAUAUUUCCAUUCGAGGUCUACAGACUAAUGGGGUUGUCCACGCAAAACUAUUGUAGAUGGCAGCACGGGCGCAACGAUCACACACCAAAAAAAACAUCGCAGUUGUCAGAUUGAAAGCGUGUUAUUUUUUGUGUUCUCUCUUUUCUUGGUGAUCUAUACUUGCUUUACCAUGUACCCGACGAUGCGCCUUCUGUAGGGAUAAAAGUGCAGUGGACAUCCUCAUUGCACAUAAAUAGAAAAAAUCCUUUCCGGUUUCUCCACGUUCUCUGUCAGCGUUUUUUAUACUGAUAUGCGUGCAGGCUAUGGCUCCAAUUGCACCUGGGAAUUCUGCAAUUUGGAACAUCUUUCUUUUAUUUGCAGUAAAUUCAUUGACUGGUGGGAAUUUCACAUAUUAGCUUACACGCAGCGCCAAUGUUCUUGAAACCCAGGCUAUUUGCUAUUUUGCAGGCCACUGCUUGGCUCCACUUAUGUCAGUCUCCACAAUCAAUCUGAAAUGUUAGGUUGAGAUUAAUAGGGGCAUAGGUAUCCCCUAAAUACUGCAGGGUAAGUGGAGGGUCGCGCUCCCAUCUACACCCUGACCUGAAAUGAUUGUAAUACUUAACUAAUACAUAUAGGUAAACAAUAUAAUAAAUAAAUAAUAACUUAGUCUGUCAGCUCACCUGGAAGUUUCCUGCUGCAUAAAAUCUCAUAGCAACAAGUAGUAGUUGUAUUAUGGGUUUUAAUGGGAAGACCUCUGCUAUUUUCAUUAGGUAAUAUGCCUGUUAAAGGCAAUAUAGUGUUGACCAUUGUGUCUUUUCUGAAGCGGAAUCGUCGUUGGAAUUCCACGUCAUCGUAGCAUUCCAUUGGAUUUAAAGCGUCCCGCAAAUAACGUCGAGCUUGGGUAGUCGUUAGGAUCAAUAUAUACAUAAUUAAUAAACUCUUCAAAUUCUUCAAAAUCUUAUAUUAUUUUGAGAAUAACUUUCCUUUUUUUCCGGAGUAGGCACAAUGAGGCAGCGGUUUUUGUAAUGGCAAGCUAUGAAUAACGUUAAAAGAUGGCCGAAACAUCAACUUUACAACUCGGGGAAGCCUCAAGUAUCUCGAAAUAUGACAGUUGAUAUCAUCAUAAUCAGACUCGACUCGAGUAAAAAUUCGCCAAGGAGUUUGUAUAUGG